rnacentral:rRNA from 1 species
AUUGAACGCUGGCGGCAGGCCUAACACAUGCAAGUCGCACGAGAGGCGGACGGGUGAGAAAUGUCUGGGAAACUGCCCGAUGGAGGGGGGUAACUCCUGGGAACGGUAGCUAAUACCGCAUACCAUCGUAUGUGACCAUAUGGGAUUAGCUUGUAGGUGAGUUAACGGCUCACCGAGGCGACGCGCCCUAGCUGGUCUUGGGGGAUGACCAUCCACAAUGUAACUGGGACAAGGUCCAGACUCCUAAGGGAGGAAGAAUUGGGGAAUAUUGACAAAGGGGCGCAAUCCUGAUGAAGCCAAGCCGCGUGUAUGAAGAAGGCCUUCGGGUUGUAAAGUAAUUUCAGCGAGGAGGCGAUACCAGCAGAAGAAGCACCGGCUAACUCCGUGCCAGCAGCCGCGGUAAUAC